rnacentral:rRNA from 1 species
UACAGAGGUCCCAAGCGUUGUUCGGAUUCACUGGGCGUAAAGGGUGCGUAGGCGGUCGGGUAAGUCUGAUGUGAAAUCUCCAAGCUCAACUUGGAAAUGGCAUCGGAUACUAUUCGGCUCGAGGAAUGGAGGGGAGACUGGAAUACUUGGUGUAGCAGUGAAAUGCGUAGAUAUCAAGUGGAACACCAGUGGCGAAGGCGAGUCUCUGGACAUUUCCUGACGCUGAGGCACGAAAGCCAGGGGAGCAGACGGG